GUGGGGAAUAUUGGGCAAUGGGCGAAAGCCUGACCCAGCAACGCCGCGUGAAGGAAGAAGGCUUUCGGGUUGUAAACUUCUUUGACAGGGGAAGAGUAGAAGACGGUACCCUGAAAACAAGCCACGGCUAACUACGUGCCAGCAGCCGCGGUAAUACGUAGGUGGCAAGCGUUGUCCGGAUUUACUGGGUGUAAAGGGCGUGCAGCCGGGAAGGCAAGUCAGAUGUGAAAUCCGUGGGCUUAACCUACGAACUGCAUUUGAAACUGCUUUUCUUGAGUAUCGGAGAGGUAAUCGGAAUUCCUAGUGUAGCGGUGAAAUGCGUAGAUAUUAGGAAGAACACCAGUGGCGAAGGCGGAUUACUGGACGACAACUGACGGUGAGGCGCGAAAGCGUGGGGAGCAAACAGGAUUAGAUACCCGAGUAGUCC
rnacentral:rRNA from 1 species